UGGUCCCCUAUCUAAUCCUUGCUACCUGGGUGAGAAUGCUAUCUCUGUGCAAUGCUCCUGGACAAGGAUUCUGAGAGUGAGAGC
rfam:Tupaia chinensis contig176740, whole genome shotgun sequence.